ACUAAGUUUCAACAACGGAUCUCUUGGCUCUCGCAUCGAUGAAGAACGCAGCGAAAUGCGAUAAGUAAUGUGAAUUGCAGAAUUCAGUGAAUCAUCGAAUCUUUGAACGCACCUUGCGCUCCUCGGUAUUCCUUGGAGCAUGCCUGUUUGAGUAUCGUGAAA
rnacentral:rRNA from 1 species